GUUCCACAGGUGUCUAUCCAGGGCUGACCCUGUACCUGGCUGUGCUGGGUCCUAGGGCUGCCAAGGAAGAUAAGCCACAGUCGCUGCUGGCCAGGAGGUACACGGGGUCCUCUGCCUACGUGUAGACAUAGAGAACUCUGCCCCUGCAGGUGUAGACAUGUGGGUGGAUCCAGGCCUUUUGCAGUGGAGAAGUGGGGGUAACAGCCGCAGGGCACGCUGCGUGGGGGCCACCCAUCUCCCAGUGUUUAUUGAUCGGCACAGAGGUGUCCCUGGUCCUGAGAGCAGAGUCAGAGACAGGAGUCUGGGAGGGGGACCGAGAGUGGCGGCGGCUGAGGUUUGAGAAUUGGCGGCCUGUCAAGCAGCACCAGGGGCUUGGAGGGGCGAUGAUGUGAUGGUCGUAGUGAUUGGCAGCUUGGGCGGAUACCAAGCUUCACGCUUUCCCCACGUUUCCUUGUUUAAUCCUCUCAAAGGCCCCUAUGCUGUGGGUACCAGCAGCUCCACUUCCCAGAGCAGGAAGCGGGUUCAGAGAGGUCCCGUGACUUAUUCAGGGUCCCGAGCUAGUAAGCGGAGGGGCUCCAAAGCCUAUCAACAGCCCUUCCUGCUUCGUGUCAGGCUUGGGGCCAGGGGUUGCCCUGCGGGUUGGAGAUUGUUGGUAACUCAGAUGACCUCUUUUCAUUCACACGGCGACUCUGGAAGAAAGGUGUGAUCCCCAUUAUGCAGCAGAUGAGACUGAGGCACAGAGACCUAAGUUGCAUGGAAGGAUGGGGCCAGGUUUGGCGGACCUCAAAACUGAGCGUUCCCCGCACUCUUGGGUGGGCACUCCUGGUCCCUUGGGCACAAGCGCUUCUGCUGGCUGGGGGCAGGCGUGCCCGUUCUGCCUUUCCAUCUUCCGGGGCCUGUGCCGGGGGCCUGGCUUCCCCACCAGGGACGGAACAGGGCCAGGGCUCAGCUUCCCUCUGACAGGCUUUGCUCCAUCCUCAGGGAGCUGCAGGAGAAGGAGAGGGCCCUGCGGCUGCAGAAGGAGCGGCUGCAGAAGGAGCUGGAGGAGAAGAAGAAAAAGGAAGAGCAGCAGCGCCUGGCUGAGCAGCGGCUGCAGGAGGAGCAGGAGAAGAAAGCCAGGGAGGCCGCAGCGGCCAGCAAGAGCCUGAACGUGACCGUGGACGUGCAGGUGAGGCCCAGGCGUCAGGGCGGACAGGGCGCCCCCCCAGUCUUCCCAGUAGCUGGAGGCACAGGCUGCGUAUAGUAGGACCUUACUGAAGAGGAGGGAUACGGUCACCCCAGUUGGUUUUUUCGUUUUUCGUGUUUCAUUUUGUUUUUGUUUUUUGG
rnacentral:lncRNA from 1 species